rnacentral:rRNA from 1 species
UUGGCCCAGAUCGUUUACCGUGAAAAAAUUAGAGUGUUCAAAGCGGGCAGAAACUUUUUCCUGCCACCGAAUACAUUAGCAUGGGAUAAUGGAAUAGGACCCUGACCUCCUAUUUUCAGUUGGUUUUGUUUUUACAGCGAGGUUCAUCAGGGUAAUGAUUAAUAGGGAUAGUUGGGGGCAUUAAUAUUUAAUUGUCAGAGGUGAAAUUCUUGGAUUUAUGAAAGAUUAACUUCUGCGAAAGCGUUUGCCAAGGAUGUUUUCAUUAAUCAAGAACGAAAGUUAGGGGAUCGAAGACGAUCAGAUACCGUCGUAGUCUUAACCAUAAACGAUGCCGACCAGCGAUUAGGAGACGUUGAAUACAAAACACCGCCGUUAAUCCUUUUCAACGGGGGUUAACGGUUGGUGAAUGACUCCCUAGCAGCUUGUGAGAAAUUUAAUUGUCAGAGGUGAAAUUCUUGGAUUUAUGAAAGAUUAACUUCUGCGAAAGCAUCUGCCAAGGAUGUUUUCAUUAAUCAAGAACGAAAGUUAGGGGAUCGAAGACGAUCAGAUACCGUCGUAGUCUUAACCAUAAACGAUGCCGACCAGCGAUUAGGAGACGUUGAAUACAAAACACCACCAUCGGUUGCGGUCGUCCUUGGCGUCUCGGUUUCGGCCGGGGCGCGGGGAUGGCUUAGCCCGGUGGCACCGGUGAAUGACUCCCUAGCAGCUUGUGAGAA